UACGUAGGGGGCAAGCGUUGUCCGGAAUCAUUGGGCGUAAAGCGCGCGUAGGCGGCCCGGUAAGUCCGCUGUAAAAGUCCAGGGCUCAACCCUGGAAAGCCGGUGGAUACUGUGGGGCUAGAGUACGGAAGAGGCGAGUGGAAUUCCUGGUGUAGCGGUGGAAUGCGCAGAUAUCAGGAGGAACACCAAUAGCGAAGGCAGCUCGCUGGGACGUUACUGACACUGAGGCGCGAAAGCGUGGGGAGCGAACAGG
rnacentral:rRNA from 1 species